rnacentral:tRNA from 1 species
GAGGUUGUAGCUCAGUGGUUGAGUGCUUGCCUAGCAUGUGUGAAGUACUGGGUUUGAUUCUCAGCACCACA